rnacentral:misc_RNA from 1 species
UCCGAUUUGUCACCGGCAGUCUCCCAUGAGUCCCCGUCUUUCACGCUGGCAACAUAGGACAAGGGUUGCGCUCGUUGCGGGACUUAACCCAACAUCUCACGACACGAGCUGACGACAACCAUGCACCACCUGUGUGGGGCCCCGAAGGACACCGUAUCUCUACGGCUUUUCCCUACAUGUCAAGCCCAGGUAAGGUUCUUCGCGUUGCGUCGAAUUAAACCACACGCUCCGCUGCUUGUGCGGGCCCCCGUCAAUUCCUUUGAGUUUUAGCCUUGCGGCCGUAGUCCCCAGGCGGAGCACUUAUCGCGUUAGCUGCGGCACCGAGGGAGUCGACACCCCCCACACCUAGUGCCCAUCGUUUACAGCGUGGACUAC